CUUCUGCAUUCUCUCUCUCUAACUACUAGAUUUUUGUUAAAAUUUGGGUUUUAUUUUUAUGUUUCAGAUCUGAUAAAUCAUUGAUUUUUUAGAUUUGUGAAAAGUAUCAGUGAUGUUUUUUAGAUUUGUGAUGUCAAAGAAGAUCCAUUUGGUUUUUAGCUUCAUGGUUUUCUUAUUUUCCAGGUUCUUCAGGUUUAAUCUAUGGGUUUCUAGCUUCCUUCUUCAUCAACAAUAACCAAUGAUUUGUUGGUAAAUUAGAAAGCUUUGGCAGCAUGUGAGGAAAAGUUAAAUGAGAUCACAGACCUUACAAAUGAAACAGGGGAAGCCAUCUUUUGACAUAACAUAGUACUUGGAUUUCAUGUCAAAGGGAGGCGUGGUAAUUGACAAAUAAAUCUUUGAUUAAGGUUUCUUUUUGUUCUUUUUCGUAAUUGUUAUAGAAUAUUAAUUUGAAGAAUUCAAAUGAAGAUAUUGUUAACCGUGGUAAGAUUUUUUUUUAUCUUCAUGGGAUUUUGUUAUAAAUUAUUUUUGAGUUUUUGAUUUGACAUUUUUGUAGAUAUUGUGUUUAUGCUAGAACAACUGUUAUCUACUUCUUGCUUAUGUAAUUUGAUGCUUUUCUAGAUUAUCUUUGUUGAUGUUACAGGUGAAGGUGAACGCAUGGUCCGGGACAUCUUAUACGAAGCUCAUUGCUUGGAGCAUUUUUAGCUCAUUCGUAUUUGGGAAGAUACUGGACAAUUUCCUGUUUCUCAUGUAUCUAUAUGUCAUUGAUUGAAGCCACCAUGUGAUGCUGAUGGUUACCAUCCGACAUCAGGACAUGUGUGUCAUCUUUUGGUACUGACCAGUUUUUAAGAAACGACGAGGUUGAGAACUACUACACUUUCAAUACAGAAGAAUCCGCAAGGGGAGUUUGCUUCGUGGAGUAUCAGCUGAAUUGAAGUCCAACUCCCGGUUGGUAAUCGAAUUGCAGUGUGAUUCCCUGGGAGAAAACAAUACUGCAUCACAUAAAAAUACAAGUGACAUGUCUUUAUUCAGCUAAUUUAUAUCCAGCAUAUUUUUCUAAUUUUGACUACAAUUGCUAUUUAAAUGCGGAAUUAAUUAUAUGUUACAUGGGUUUAGCAGUUUAUCAAUUUCGAUGGGC